CUCAACUUGUCGGAGUGCCAUGUGGCUGAGACCGUGUAAACGGGAUCCGUUGAACCUGAUCAGGCUAAUACCUGCGAAGGGAACAAGAGAAGAUAAUUU
rfam:Photobacterium damselae subsp. damselae CIP 102761 Contig58, whole genome shotgun sequence.